UACCUCUCUGCUCUCCUCUCUCGUCGAACCCCACCAACUGCGUGUUCGAAUACCUUAAGAACAUCAGCUAAUCGCAAAUAUUCUGAUACGAACCGGACUGAUGAAGAUGGGCCAACAAUUGGGCUUCGUUUACUUUAUUUAUUUAAUUACUAUCUAGGCCUUUUACACAACUAUAUGUACUCGAAAACAUAUCUGAGAAAGGUAUCGAUUACGAUCACAAUAUCAAACUGGGUAAAUCCCCAACUUCUACCUCUAUCUCUUCUCUUCUCCCUUUGCUCUUCGUCAUUUCUCCCUCCCUUUCUGUUCUAUUCAGAUAAGCUCAAUCCUGGGCUUAUCAUUGGUAUCAGAGCUCAAGUUCCUUUGACCGUGAGUUUAAAAAAAAAAAAAAAAUAUAUAUGGUUUUCAGUGAGAAGCUCGAGAAGCUACUACAAUCAUUCAAACAGAUGGAUGUGGAUCGGAAACUGCGUGAGGAGCUUCGAAUGGACAGUCAGAGACUGCAUGAGGAGUUCCGUGAGGAGUAUCAGAAGCGGCGGAAGCGACCGUAUGGUGAAUCUCAUCCUUAUGACGCUUUCAUCCCUAAAAGGUUUGAAGAUCUAAGGCUUAAUGGAGGUAGCAAGCUCAGAAGGAUUCCGAUCAAGCUAAACUACCACAGAUCUCGAUUUAAGAAACUGAAAAGUAAGUCACCUAGAAGAACUCUUGAUUCAAAGGGUUUGUUAGAUCGUACGUUUCAGAGGAGGUGUGUGGGAAUGAAGAAACAAUACCAUCAGAAGAAGAGAACAGCUCAGGUGAAGCUUGCGCAAGCUUGUAAGAGCUUGGGGAUGUUCCUAGUCUCUCCAAGUUUUAGAGAUCCAAAAGACUGUAUGAAGAUUUGUGUGGUUAAAAGGCAGAUCAUCGACACAGGAGUGAGGCCAGAGACUCAUCUCUUCUGGUAUGAGUUUACUUCCCAUGAGCCUACGGAUAUAGAUGGUCAUGUAGAUACGAGGAUAGGAGAUCAAAGUAUCUUCGCUGAGGAUGUUACAGCGCUAGAACAUGAUGAUCCUGAUGCUGCGAUGGAGUCUGUGAAGGAUGAAACAGUACUGGAGUCAGAACCAGAGGUAACGAGCAACGAUAAGAUCCGAGUUGAACUCUCUGAGGGUCAACAACAGAAGGAGCAACGAAGAUUUCACAAGGUUCGGUUCAAAGGAAGACGUCACCGGAAAGCUCUUUACACAAGACGUGUUGUGCUCCAGAAAAAGCUCUCAGUAAAUUGGUCUUAUCACAAGACUAGAAAGAAGGAGUUGAUUAAUCUGAACAUUCCCGUUAAGGCACUGAGACAGUUAAGCAAAGAAUCAGAUGGUGCAGAAGAGAUACGAUCCACCAGAUUGUUGCAAAGAUUUCAAUGGGAACCAGGCCCUGCGGUGAUGUUAAAUGAUAACAUUAAACAAGGUCAAGUUCAGUGGCUGAGGCUAACAUCACAACAAAAUGGCGAUAUCAAUUUUAGCUUGGGGAACGCUGAAACUUCAGAGCUGUGUGAAAGAGUGGACGCUUCGGUCAUAGAUAGCAAGGGUCAAUACAAAGAAAGGCACAGAGGAAAUGAGUUGUACAUCGAGGUCAAGCGUGUGGAUGUUCUUGGUCUUAAGAGAUCCCUAGCGAGUCAAAAGACAAAUUCAAGUGAUGGGGUUAAGAUCAUGGGAUCAGCUUUUGUAUCCUUCAGCCUUGAGGACAAGACUGUUCUUCUACCGGGGAGAAAGCUCAGGCUCUGUGGUGAGAAAAUAAUGGAUGGUCGCUUUGAAGGUUUAAGUAAAGAAAAGUCAGGAAGAGCUGCAGGUUUAUGGAGGCAAAUGAGGAAGGUGAUCUUUGAUGCUGCUGUGAUGCCGUUGUAUUUACGUCUGCAGAGAGAUGAAGGAUCUGAACCUAUGAUUGGUUAUGAAUGGGAUCCUGGUGGGGUUAGCAUUGAGAAGAUUCAGGAAUUCGUUUUCAAUAUAAAAUGUUGCUUGCUUGAGAUGGAACAGAGUAUGAAAAAGUGUUCUGCUAACUCAGAGUUGGAGUUGCUUACGAGAAAGGUCCAUCACAUGAAAGCGGAAGGUGCUGAUUCUAACCAUGGCAAGGGUGAUGCUCUAGUAGUAAAGCUUGAAAAGAGGCUUAGAAUGGUUCAGUGGGUGGAGCAAGGCAGGAGAGACAAUGGUGCUAGAAUUGGAACGAUGCGGAAUGAAGGGCACAUCGUACUCUCUACUUCUGAUACGAGAGCUUACUCUGAGUCAUUAUUAGAUUAUGGGAAGCACAACAAGCAGAUGAGGUGGCUCCUUGAUCACACUAUGACAGCAGUGGUACUGGACGAAGAUGCACCUGAAAAUGACACAGAUGGACGCUACUUGUUUAUCAAGUUUAUCAAUUCUGAUCCAAGAGAGAAGGUGGUGUUCUUUGUCUAUGAUUGGUUUCAAUCACCAAGACCACCAGAAAUGAAUCACGACAAGGGUGGGCUAGGUACAAUGGUUUCUGUGUCAAGGAAACGUGGUCUCAGCCAGAACAUUGGUCUUGUCUCUGUGUCUAAUUUUAAUGGCAAUGGAAUGAACAGAAAGAAGGUACAAGGACAUCCGGAAGACAUAGUUGGGGAGGAAGCUGUUUUAAAGGGUCAAAAGUUAGAGAUUGCUAUCAUCAUGAAGCUGACCAGAGGCAAUCACAAGUUGAAGAUACAAGAAGGCAACAGCAGUUCAUACAACUUGAGGACAAGUUGGAUCUUCAGGAAGGGAGUAUUGAUACGAACCGGACUGAUGAAGAUGGGCCAACAAUUGGGCUUCGUUUACUUUAUUUAUUUAAUUACUAUCUAGGCCUUUUACACAACUAUAUGUACUCGAAAACAUAUCUGAGAAAGGUAUCGAUUACGAUCACAAUAUCAAACUGGGUAAAUCCCCAACUUCUACCUCUAUCUCUUCUCUUCUCCCUUUGCUCUUCGUCAUUUCUCCCUCCCUUUCUGUUCUAUUCAGAUAAGCUCAAUCCUGGGCUUAU
rnacentral:lncRNA from 1 species